rnacentral:rRNA from 1 species
CGAGGCGAACCGGGGAAACUGAAACAUCUCAGUACCCCGAGAAAAAGAAAUCAACCGAGAUUCCCCCAGUAGCGGCGAGCGAACGGGGAGCAGCCCAGAGUCAACAUCAAUAUUUACCACAGGAGAAGGGUCUGGAAAAGCCGGCAAUAAAGGGUGAUAGCCCCGUAUCUAAAGCGGUAAGUGUUGUGAACUCGAAGAGUAAGGCGGGACACGUGUUAUCCUGUCUGAAUAUGGGGGGACCAUCCUCCAAGGCUAAAUACUCCUGACUGACCGAUAGUGAACCAGUACCGUGAGGGAAAGGCGAAAAGAACCCCGGCGAGGGGAGUGAAAUAGAACCUAAAACCGUGUACGUACAAGCAGUAGGAGCACCCGAAAGGGUGUGACUGCGUACCUUUUGUAUAAUGAGUCAGCGACUUAUAUUCUGUAGCAAGGUUAACCGCAUAGGGGAGCCGUAGAGAAACCGAGUCUUAACUGGGCGUUAAGUUGCAGGGUAUAGACCCGAAACCCGGUGAUCUAGCCAUAAGCAGGUUGAAG